rnacentral:rRNA from 1 species
GAUCCUGGCUCAGGAUGAACGCUAGCUACAGGCUUAACACAUGCAAGUCGAGGGGCAUCAGUUUGGUUUGCUUGCAAACCAAAGCUGGCGACCGGCGCACGGGUGAGUAACACGUAUCCAACCUACCUCAUACUCGGGGAUAGCCUUUCGAAAGAAAGAUUAAUAUCCGAUAGCAUAUAUUUCCCGCAUGGGUUUUUAUAUUAAAGAAAUUUCGGUAUGAGAUGGGGAUGCGUUCCAUUAGUUUGUUGGGGGGGG